GACGAACGCUGGCGGUGGGCUUAACACAUGCAAGUCGAACGGCAAGGCCCUGCUUUUGUGGGGUGCUCGAGUGGCGAAGGGGUGAGUAACACGUGAGUAACCUGCCCUUGACUUUGGGAUAACUUCAGGAAACUGGGGCUAAUACCGGACAGGAGCUCCUGCUGCAUGGAGGGGGUUGGAACGUUUCGGCGGUUGCGGCUGGACUCGCGGCUUACCAGCUUGUUGGUGGGCUAGGGGCUUACCAAGGCAUUGACGGGUAGCCGGCUCGUGAGGGUGACCGGCCACCUUGGGCCUGAGAUACGGCCCAGACGCCUACGGUAGGCAGCAGUGGGAAACAUUACACAACGGGCGGAAGCCUGAUGCAGCGACGCCCCGUGCGGAAUGACGUCUUUUGGGUUGUAAACCGCAGCCGCCUGAGACGAAGCUUGAGUGACGGUAACGGGUAAAGAAGCACCGGCUAACUACGUG
rnacentral:rRNA from 1 species